rnacentral:rRNA from 1 species
GACGAACGCUGGCGGCGUGCCUAAUACAUGCCAGUAGAACGCUGAAGGAGGAGCUUGCUUCUCUGGAUGAGUUGCGAACGGGUGAGUAACGCGUAGGUAACCUGCCUGGUAGUGGGGGAUAACUAUUGGAAACGAUAGCUAAUACCGCAUAAUAGCAGUUGUUGCAUGAUAACUGUUUGAAAGGUGCAAUUGCACCGCUACCAGAUGGACCUGCGUUGUAUUAGCUAGUUGGUGGGGUAACGGCUCACCAAGGCGACGAUACAUAGCCGACCUGAGAGGGUGAUCGGCCACACUGGGACUGAGACACGGCCCAGACUCCUACGGGAGGCAGCAGUAGGGAAUCUUCGGCAAUGGACGGAAGUCUGACCGAGCAACGCCGCGUGAGUGAAGAAGGGUUUCGGAUCGUAAAGCUCUGUUGUAAGAGAAGAACGAGUGUGAGAGUGGAAAGUUCACACUGUGACGGUAUCUUACCAGAAAGGGACGGCUAACUACGUG